rnacentral:tRNA from 1 species
CAGGGAGACAAACAUUGAUCAUGAUGUCUGAGUAUAUUUAUCCUUAGACCUUGGUCCUGUCACCUUAGGUCGAUCGGUACCUCAAAUUAAUAGUUAAUAAUUAGUUGAUUAUUCACUAACUUAUUAGUUAUCUGAUUUCAGUUCCUAAACUUGUCUAGGUCACACCCCCGCAAGGGUACCCCUGGGCCAUUAGCUCAGGUGGUUAGAGCGCACCCCUGAUAAGGGUGAGGUCCCUGGUUCAAGUCCAGGAUGGCCCAUUCGGUUUUGGGGGUAUAGCUCAGUUGGUAGAGCGCCUGCUUUGCAAGCAGGAUGUCAGCGGUUCGAGUCCGCUUACCUCCACUGAUCGAUGAUCUCCUGAAAGGACCCAAUACAGAGGACCUUUGCUUGAUGUGAUUUAGACCCUUUCAUUUGCUAAGCAUUAAGACCCUAGCUUCCUAUCACUCAAUUAAUCUACUAAAUAAAUUAGAUUUUUGCUGAUAGGACGCUGGGCUCAUUGCAAUUUUAAUUGCAAUUAGUUUGGCAGAACCUUGACAACUGCAUAGGUGAGUCUGGAAAGAAUAAAAGCAUCUCAUGGAUGCAUCAUUUUUCCUUUUAUCAAUUAAUUACAUGUUAAAUAAUUGAUGUUUAAAUGAAUUAAUGAUGUUAAUUCUUGAGCAAGAGCUGAGACUCUAUAACGUUCUUUUGAUGAUUUUUGUUCAUCGAAAGUCUGAUUGAUUAUUUGAUCUAAAUUAGAAUUUAUUUUUUAGUUAAAUCUAUUUAAUAAGCUCUAAACUCACAAAUAAUUGAGAAUGAAGUUUUCAACAACUUUUAAGCGUUGUAGAGAAAAUU